rnacentral:lncRNA from 1 species
AUGCUCCGGGGCUUGCCUUCAAGCAGAGGGGAGGAGAACUGGUCUUCAGCUGGGGCGGCUUCGGCUUCUGGAACUGGCAGCUCAGCUACAGCUCCGUCUUCUGGCACCGAGUGCAGCUCGUAGACGCCGUCAGCGAGGUGUAACUCUACACGAAUGCAAUGCAGGAGUUAGUGUUUAGACGGUUAUUUCAACAACACUUGCAGUUUAAGCUCGGACACUUGUAGCAAGGUUACAGAAAAGGUGGGGAAGGUCACUGUAGUUGGUAGAGAACAGGAUAAAAGGGGUCGGAUGGUAAAUAGAUUUGUGAUCUGACCCUUAAACUUUAAGGGAUACUGUGUUCGGGGUCCUCAAACUUAACGCAGAGAAAUCCCGAUCUUUUACACAGAUACCCUCGGGUCAGGGAAAACGAUAUAGCCGAUCUCUCGAGCGAGGUGGAAAAGGGUCGGCUAAACAGACAGAGUCGGGCGAGACGGAAAAAGGGGUCGGGCGACACGAAAAGGGGUCGGGCGACAUGAAAAGGGGUCGGCAACUUACCUUCGGUUUAUAGGCGAAGCUUGGGGUCGGGAGGGAACAGACUUGGGCGGAAGGAC